GUAAGGUUAAAGCAUUUCCUCUACAGCCAGGCAAGACGUGAUAGAUCUCUGCGUCCUUGCUCCAGCCCACCAUCAACCUUCUCUACAAUUACCUCAGUGGAACAAUUCCUUUCCAUUUCUGUGGGACAUCAGAGCCUACCCAGCAAGGGAAUCGCCAAGUGAUGCAGACAAUUUCCACUACCUCACUUGUACCUCUGAGAGGAAAAACAUAAAAGGACUACAUUUAAGGUAUAAAAGUGUUGGUGAGUUGCAGUCCUCGUGGAGAUAAUAACACUCCUUAUGUGCUUGCUCAUAAAAUAUGAACUGAAGGUGAUCACUGAGAUUGAGACCUGCUGUAAAAUACCAGAAUGGCAGAUAAAAAUGUUAGUAGGAGCUUAUUUUUUUAGUUAAGUACAUAACUAAUCUUUACAUAAGGAAAGAUGGCUUCAGCUUGUAUUGAAGAGGUAAUUAACAAAUUAUCUGAAAGUUACGCUACUCAAGUGGAGCUUCUGCAGGUAAAAGAAACUGAAUGCAUUCCAUGUUUGCUCAUCAGAAAUGUGCCCAUAUUAGAAUUUAUUUACUUAACACUUCAGUGAUACUAUAACAACAGACAUCUUGACUGUGGGAGAUAAACUGAUGAAGUAUGUAACUUUAUAACAAAGACAAACUUAAUGUUUAAAAUGUUUAUAUUUUGCUGUCUAAGUUCUGGUAAAAUUAUCCUAUUUUAAAGAACUAGAUCUUGGUCUCUUCUCUCAAUACAUUGUCAAAGAGGUAGAAAACACCCUCACACUUUCUUAUGCAUCAUUAUUCCUGCUGGGUUUUCCUCUCUAACUGUUCUUCUCCUUACAGGAUAUACUUGGAAACAAACAGCAAAACAAAUAUAGCAGGCUUAUACAAAGCAGAGAUGACAACCAAAGCUUCUGUAACAUGCUAUAUUAUGCUGUCAAAAUAUAGAACAAUACACAGAGGAAAUUGCUUUAUCAACAGAAUUUGCUGGCGAUCUGAAAAACAGUGA
rnacentral:lncRNA from 1 species